rnacentral:lncRNA from 1 species
AUGAAACUGAAUUAGGAAAGUAACAAUAUAGUAUGAUUUGCCAAACUGAAAAAACACCACAUACAAGACUUAUUAACAAAUACAUUUUUCUUUGGAGAUUAUUUCCUUCUACAAUAUACUGAUGUACUGCAGAGAAUUUCUUUAACAUUAAAGAAGAUCAUAGUUGUUCAUUGCCAAUAAUGUACCUGAUUGCAUACAAAGAGGGAUGGAGGGUUCUAGUUGUACUUGUCAGCAGAUAUAAGGUUCAAUUAAAUGCAAGAGUCAGCAGAGGCACCCAGUUCAACUUCUCAUUCCUACAGACCUGACUUCGAGAACCUUCAAGUCAGCACUAAUCUGUAACAUAUAACCUCAAAGCAAUAUUAUAUACUUGAACCAGAAUCUUGAAGAUUUUCCAAAUUCAUUUGUAACUCCUCUCUCUCAAGCAACAUCAGAGGUGAACAAAACUUCAUCUCUCAGUAUUCAGGAAAACUGCCAUUGCUGUGUGGUCAUCUCAAGUAUUGAAAAACAGUGCUAAAAUCAAAUGAAUUGCUAAACUGAAAGCCUUUCUGGGUCUUUAUAAAAGUGUCAAAAGUAAAUAAUUAUUCAUCUGCUCCCACCAAAUCCCAGACACAAAAUUGUUCCAGUAGAUAUUUACUUCAGGCAAAAUAAAGAAGGCAAGACUUCAGGCAUAAUCAGUGUAGCAUAAUACUACUUCUAAAGUCCCUUCUGCAGCAAGAGUUCGAAAUUUUGGAUGAUCAUUUUGGAAAAAGGAAAACAAAUAAAUUAAUAUAUAUAUAAAUAAACAAAAUGAAAGUGACCCACCUUGUCCUCACUGGGUUGACCCACCUUCAUUCUCCAAUUGCACUGUAAACAUUGACUUUGUAAAGAACAAAAACAAACUGAGAAAUAGCAAGUGGCCACACAAGAUUCACUCCAAACUUGGGGUCUCCAACAUGAAGCCAAAAUUCUCUUGGACAGAGCUGCAAAUUCCAAAAGAAGAAAGAAAGACUAACUGGCUAGCAAGUUCAUAUUUGUAUGCGUUAACUGUCUCCUGAUUGUGAAAGGAAAUUAAAAACUCAAGUUGAACCAAGUAGCAAGUUUAUAUUUUUUAUGCACCCUUAUCUGAUAUCACCCCUCACAUUCAACACGAAAUCCUUUAGAAUGCAUUGGUGGGGGAUUGGUGACUUCAAAAUUAUACCAUAAAAUCGAAUUUUAUCUUGGAGACGCUAAUCUGAUGAUUCUUAAAUGGAAUUGUGGGAUAUUAACAACUCAGGGUA